GCAUCAAGGCUGCUUUAUCUCCUUUUCUGUCCUCUCCUCCUCCCUUUUACACCUCCAUUGGCUCAACCAGUUACUAUGACCUGACUUCUGAGCCAUUCUGGCUCUCCACACCGGCCUAGAGCUGGCCCCGGGUCACAGUGGGGGGCGUGGCCACCCAGGACCUGUCUAAGGCUCCAGGCUGUCCCUCCUUCCUCCCAGCCUUCAGAACUCAAGAACCACCGAAGCCCCUCAUACAAGGCUCACAAGUAACAACCCGGUUCCUGAAUACAUGAUGGCAGGACCCGGAGUUCUCCACUCUUGCCCCUGCCUGCUUCCAGAAUUAGGACUGCGAUAGGUACACGCUGGCCCUAAAAACAGUUUCCGGAUCAUUUCUCCCAGGCCAGCCUCUGCAGCUUUCUGUAUCUCUGCAGUGGCCCCUGUGGGCUGGCAAGUGUCUCACUGCGAGCAUUAUCCACGGGAUACGUCCUCGUGGGACGUAUCCUGACCUUAAAUAACUAAUAAACCUGACCUUAAAUAACUAAUCUUCUCAUGAGGCCGUGUUGCCAGUCCCCACGCCCCAUCUCACUUCAGCCCUCAGUGCCUCCUCUCCCUGGACCACGGCAUCAGGAUCACAGCACCAGAGUCUCGGUCCCCCACCCCACUCUGAAUCAUCCGGCACAUGCCAUGGGAGAGGUCUUCCUCUAGCUCAGCCGUGAGCAUGCUACUCUCCCACUAACACGCAACAGAUCCCAGUUGCUACGGGACCAAAAAUAGUCCGAACUAAGGCCCCUUCUAGCCUCCUUGUGCUGUGAUUCCUCAGGACGACACGCACGGCCCUGUGACUUGGCCCCACGUUACUUUUCCAGCCUAAUGUCCUCCUCUUUUUCAGUCAUUCACGUCAUCAUUUAGCGAGAACUUUCUGGGCACCAGGCGCUGUGCAAAGCUCUUUAAACAAAUCACCGGAUGUAGCAGCAUCAGCCCCGUGUCGCAGGCACUAUCACUGAUUUUGCCAAUGAGAACACCAUGCUGCCCUUCCCCAAACACACACUGCACCUUCCCACCACUGAAGUUUUGCCCAUGCUGUUCCCGUCCCCAGUCUGCUCUUCCCUCCAUGCCUCCAGCUACUGAAAUACCACACGACCAUCCAUGCCAGGCUCGGGUGCCCUCCCCUCUAGGGGUCUUCACCUGCCCCACCAUUGCUUCGAGCUUGUUCUUCUCCGACCUUCGUCCCUCUGUAGCACUCACCGUGCUCUCAGAGGAGGUUACCUGUGUAGAUGGCUUUCUUCCCACCCAGAAUGUACAGGUAUUAAGGAUCAGGACCGUCGUUUUGCACCUGUGUAAUGCUCACUGUGCCUGGGCCAGGGAUUCGAAAUGCAGCCUUCACCUCACUCACCCAUGUGAACGGCUAAACAGGAAGCCCCCAGGCUGCCCCGGCCACAGAGAGGGCACCAAGUUGCUACACAAGCAUGUCAUGGCAUCUGGCAUCCAUGUCACUUCUCACCGUAUGUCCACAAAUUCUUGGACACUCCUCCUUUAGGGGUCCCUAAUUCCCCUUCCUUUGAAUGUGAUUGGACUUAGUGACUCACUUUCAACACAGAAUAUGGUGGAAGUGUCAGUAUGUAGCUUCUGAGACCGUUGCAGGCAUUGCAGCCCCUGGCUUGUUUGCUUGUGGAACCUUCACACUGAGGACAGAAAGCUGCCCUGACCUGGGGAUACUCAAUCAACCCUUACGGAGAGGCCUGCGUGGCUGGGAACUGAGGCCUCCUGCUAAAAGCCAUGCAAGUGAACCACCUUAGAAGUGGAUCCUCAGCCUCAGGCAACGAUGACAUCAGAUGACAUAGGGAGACACUACCAGCUAAGCCAUUCCUGGAUUUCUGACCCUCAGAAGCUGUGGGAGAUAAUAAACAUUUGUUGGCCUGA